UACGGAGGGGCGAGCGUUAUUCGGAAUUAUUGGGCGUAAAGGGCGCGUAGGCGGCCCGGUAAGUCAAAGGUGAAAUCCCUCGGCUCAACUGAGGAACUGCCUUUGAAACUGUCGGGCUUGAGGCCGGGAGGGGUAGCGGAAUUCCCAGUGUAGCGGUGAAAUGCGUAGAUAUCAGGAGGAACACCAAUUGCGAAGGCAGCUCGCUGGAACGUAACUGACGCUGAGACGCGAAAGCGUGGGAGCAAACAGG
rnacentral:rRNA from 1 species